UGGUGAAGGAUGAGAACUCUAACCUGACUGGAUACAUUGCCAUAAUGGGUUAAAGGACUUACCUGAGGCCA